GCCGGGAUGCGUCAGCGAAUUCCCCGAGCCCCAGCUGAAAGUGCGCGGAAUCACAUGUGAUGCGCUGCGCAGUUGCCGCUCAACAGACCUACGUCACCGGAAGAUUCGAGGAGGAGGAUUCUGUUUCGCUCCGAUCAGACAGUGACGACUCAAGUAGUUCUGAAUCCCCUACGCCGCCCUCCUCUCACGAUGAUGCCUUAGCUGGGUUUCCAUCACUAAGCAGUCAGUUGCGGGCUGCAGCUUGCGCAUCCCUGUUUGAUCGACUGCCAAAUGUGAGCGAUGCAGGAUUAAGCGGUCAAGAAGGAAAAUCUUCUCCGCUUUCGGCGUCAUCGUCAGAGUCCCAGAAGUCACCAUCCAAGUCGUCUUCCACUCAAAACAGUGGCGCUGGUGAAGAAACUUUUGCGGUGAGCUCCUCAGGACUUUUGUAUCCGACUUCGCAGGGCAUGCUGUACGCAUCCCCGUCAAAUAAUAGCGUUCUCUUCAGUCUGGACCACAGAGGCCUUCCCACUUCUUCUCACUAUAUUCGAAUCCCGUUGCCUAUCGUCUCUUCACCAUCUGCUUACAAGCCUGCCGACCUCAGUAGCAAGAGCAGAAAAUAAUUCACAGGCAGAUUUCGAGCGUCGAUUUUUUUCUCGAUCAAAUAUCUGUCUCAUAUUUCUUUUUUUUCUUUCUUUCUUUAAGACUGUUGUGUAACUAAUCUAUUUUGUACAUUUUACCCUCCUCCUAUUAAGAUUUUGUAAGUCUCUGUACGGAAUCUUGAGGUUUUCUUUUUUGUUAAAUUCUUAGUUCAAUUUUGAUUGGAAAUAAAUAUAUUACCAUUAACAACGUUUCUGGGUUGAUAAUUUUACACGUUUCCAUCCCUUCUGAUCAAAAGAUAGGUACACUGGGACAAACAAGUUUCCGUCUUAUGAACCGUAUGCACAGUGUUCGCCUGUAUUCUUUGGUUCUAGGAGCUACAACCGAGAUUGUCAGGAACCGAAUAGCACAGUCGAUCUAGAACUCCGUACUUACUUAUGGCUCAGAAUAGAUAUGACUCAACUUCUUUUCUCCCUGUGUUGCAAAGAGGCGAGGAACGAUUUUGAAUGAGAUAAGUUUUCAUUACUUCAAAUAAAACGUGGCUUUUGCGUAGGUAUAGAUCCUAAUUUUAAAAUAAAAUAUUUUGUGCCCAGUUUCAAUUUCAAGACGAUUGUUUUGGAGCUAGACUCAGCAAACCACCAUAACUUCAAUUUUGUUUGAUACAUUUGCGUAUCUUUUUGUCCCAAAUAAUUGGAUAACAAUCCACCAUAUUUUCUAGUAAUAGUAAUACUUGAUAAGUUGAUUGUUAUUUUUGGUUGACUGGCUCCCUAUCACACUGGUUGAAAUUCCAUUGAUCAGAAGUCAACUUUGACGGCCAAAGAAUGAGAUGCGUAUCAAUUCUCAUCUGAUUGUAACCAUAACAUUGAAUAAGCAAGUAGGUUUUUCACAUAAGAAGGUUGUACAAAAUCGGCGAUUUUGCCCCCCUCUUGGAUUUUGCCCGGAAUUGGAUAUGAUGUUCCCUAUCACAAGACACGCCUUUUUCCGGCGUUGGCAAGUUCACCCGAAAUAUUUCCCGCGCGUUACAGCGUUGCCAAGUUGAAAACAGGCAAAUUCCGUAAGUGG
rnacentral:lncRNA from 1 species